rnacentral:lncRNA from 10 species
CACGGAGGACACAUUAUUCAUUCCAUCGACCAACCAUGUUUGAUGUUCAGACAGGUUCCUUCGAACAGCUAACAGGAAUUGUGAAGAUAAUCUUUCAGAAUCUGCCUAGAGGUACACCCAACCCUACAACUGCCCUGGUUUUGACAGAAAACAUCCCAAGGCAGCCAUGACCAUAACUUGGAAAAUGAAAGGAGGUGAAACCAAGAGACAAGAAGGGUAGAAGGGAACUAAAAGAAGCAAGCAGUGUCAAUCUUCCUGGGAAUCUGGAUGCUUGCACACCGAUCAAGGUCCACCUGAAGUCACAAAACCACAGCCCCAGCUUCUCAAAGGUUCCCUCCCUCCCCCGCAAGUCACUUGAGUUUCAGUCCAUUAUCAAGCUCUAGCUUCCCCAUUCUGUGUGGCCCCUAUUAAAUUAUACAUAAAAUUUAUAAGUUAGAAGGGGGCUGGGCAAAGGGGGAGCCCAGGCCCCUUUAUUACAGAGGUCUGAGGGGGGCCACUUGGGCAAGGCAAGGUCAGCACUGGAGAAAGUUUCCUGGCAAUCAGAAUCCCCCAGCAGACAUCAAGCUGCUGCCUCCUGCCCCCAACUUCUACAGACCAGCUCUACCCCUUCUCUGUUAUAUUCAACAUUUUCCUGUUCCUGGAAAUCCCAGCCACUUUUGGGGAAAGAUGGCUACCAGGUGCAACCAAGAGAGGAAUGCUGCUUCACACAUCCCUACUGUCGGCAAAUACACAAACCUAAAAUACUUAAAACUAAGUUUCAUGCUGUCACCUUUACCAUGUUUUUUUCUAGGUUACCCAUUUUUUCAGCUUAAAAUGAACAAAAUGUGACCUGUUCUUCAUUAAUAAGGAAAAAAUUAACUUCUGGAAAAACCUGAUUGCUUAUUUGGCAAAUUACAGAGAAGGUCAUUUAACCAGUUCCCAGCAUUGGCUAUGAGAUGAGGGACCCAGCCGGGAGGAUGGCUAAGCUGCUUCUGGCUUUCUGCUGCCUUGUGCCAAUAAAGGAAGGGCCUCCCUGAUGGUGCUCCUGGCCUUCAAAGCAAUCUCAUACUGAAAGCUGGUGCUUCAGUUACAUGCACUCAAAGGAGAAGAAUCUACUUUGAAUGGAAAGCUCCCGGGUAUUCCCACACCUUCUUUGUUUGUCUAAGGCCAUGGCUCUGCAGAGCUGCAAUAAACCUGCGUACCCACCCUGCAGAAGGACUGGGCCACAGCUAGCUUGUAAAACAAAACUAAGUCACCAAAUUUAUUUCCUUUAACACAGUCUCUUAGCAGAACCUUUCUAUGCUGACUGUGGCCUUGGCUCAAGCAACAGCAAUUGCAGCUCCUGCUGGUUCUACUAAGGAGGUAAAAAUAAAGGCGACUCGCUUUCAGGUGGGCAAUGAUCUGUUACUGCAUAACAAAAAAAAAGGCAGUGUUCUAAUCUAAUCUAAAAGGCGGUUUUCAAAUCUAAAAAAAAAGAGCUCAGAUAUACUCUCCUUGGAUUGGAAGCAAGUAUGAAACCUAAUAUAUUUUAAGCAUUAAAAACAUCAGCAUGUGUCUAGUGUAUAAAAUACAUAUGCACCAAGAUGGUCUGUAUUCAUCUUGUGAUUUUUUUUUUUUAAAUACAGAAUAUAUGCUGGAUGAUUUUAUUUGUUAUUUUUGUUAGUCUCAUGUUGUACUCUAUUUACAGUAGGUCUUUUUUUGUUUUGUUUUCGAUACAGAGCUUCGCUCUUGUGACCAGGCUGGAGUACAAUGGCACAAUCUCAGCUCACUGCAACCUCCACCUUCUGGGUUCAAGUGAUUCUCCUGCCUCAGCCUCCCAAGUAGCUGGGAUUACAGGCACCCACCACCCACUAUGCCCGGCUAAUUUUUGUAUUUUUAGUAGAGAUGGGGUUUCGCCAUGUUGGCCAGGCUGGUCUCAAACUCCUGACCUCAGGUGAUCCGCCUGCCUCGGCCUCCCAAAGUUCUCGGAUUACAGGUGUGAGCCACCGUGCCCGGACUAUGGUAAGUCUUUUUUUUUUUUUUUUAAGUUUAUUUUUAACAACAAAAAAAUCUGUAUUUUUCUCCUAAAAGGUACCAAAAUUUGGGCAACUAUAAAUGUUUCAUUCUAUACUUAGAAAUAAAAUAAAUGGUUUCUUUUUUAUCAUUAUCUGAAAGAAUGGAUUGUCUGGCUUCUUGAAAUCCAUGGCCUCUUACUGGGACAGGAAAGGCAUUGGAGUUAUGUCCCUAGACUAGAAAGAGUAUGGUUCAUGAGGUCCCUGGCCCUCUCCAUAACUCUGCAUUUGGUCACUAAAUAUUGGUAGAAAAAGUAUUUGUCCAUUACUUUACUUGUUCCACCACCUAGAGCCAAAGGCAUUAGAAGGUAAUUAAUAGUGAUACGGAUAGAAUGCAAGCCACAGUCACCUCCAUCCUUCUCACCAUCUCUCAAGCCCAUGUCCUUGACCUUUGGUAUUUACAUCCAUGUGACACGCUCUACCUGAAAUGUCACCUUUUUCCAGCCUGUCAAAGUUAUUCAUCCUUCAACACUGAGGCAGAAAUGCCACCUCUUCUUAGAAGCCCCCUAGUCUCUGGCCCCCUCUUCUCCCAGCAGCAGCACACAGCAUGUGAAGAGCCCCCUGACAGGCGCCUGUGCCUAUCCAGGGCCUCUCCAGGGCGCUCUACCGGAUACCUGCCCUGAAGGUUUGGCUCCUAAUCAAUGUGGAAUUAAAAAAGCAAAUGAUGGCUCAUGUAGAUGUUACAUGCCUUAUUAAUAAAUGUGAGCAUUUCAAAUUUAAGUAAUUGCCUAAAAUUUUUAUUUUACCUGCUUAGAUACAAUCUUAGGACUUUUAUGCAACAUCCUGGCUCUUUGAACCAGUUUUUGUUCUCAUUAUCUCCAGUCAGAUCCCAGUCAAGACAUUCUAGCCUACAAGAAAAGUGAAAUCUAGAAGUGGGAAAAGCAUGGGAUGGGUUAAUGGAAUGGCAAAAAUUCAGUUAACUCAACAGCCAAAUACAAAGUAGAAAGGAACUGAAAGACAUACAAAAUGGAAAUGUAGCUUGGGGGCAGACCAUUAAAGACUUUAACAAAUUUUAUACUUAAUAUACUGUGCAAAAAAAAAAACAGGAUUUAUGAGUCAUACGGAGAGUAUAAGUUUUAUAAAGAUGACUCUAGAAAUGGUAUAAGGAUGCACUGCAGGCAUAAAGAGGCUAAAAGAGAGAGGACUCAGAAAGAGGCUAUGGGUACAAUCCCAGCAAGGAGGAGAAAGCCUUGUGAUAUGGUUUGGCUCUGUGUCCCCACCCAAAUCUCACCUUAAAUUGUAAUAACACCCACAUGUCAAGGGCGGGACCAGGUGGAGUAAACUGAAUCAUGGGGGCGGUUCCCCCAUGCUCUUCUCCUGAUAGUGAAUGAGAUAGUUCUCUGACGGUUUUAUUAAGAGAUCUUUAUAAGGAGAACAGAUGGUUUUAUAAGGAGCUUCUCCCUUCGCUGGGCACUCAUUCUCUCUCCCGCCACCCUGUGAAGUGGUGCCUUCUGCCAUGAUUGUAAGUUUCCUGAAGCCUCCCCAGCCAUCUAGAACUGUGAGUCAAUUAAACCUUUUCCCUUUAUAAAUUACCCAGUCUCAGGUAUUUCCCCAUAGCAGUGUGAGAAUGGACUAGUACACCUUGGUAUCGGGGCAACUCUUUUUAUUUCCUGUUGUGGACUAGUCGGCCUGGGGAAGAACCAGGUAAGAUUUGGUCCUGUCCUGUGGAUAAUUCCACUUGGCUCUUCCAAAAGUACUUCAAAGUCAGCAUGCACAAGACUGAAUUCACUGGCUUUCCUCACAAUGUUCUUACCUCUAGAUUAGGCAUCCUGAGUCUCCUAGACCUGACUUUGAAGGAAUCAC